AUUUGGCGUGAUAAUUUGUUUAAAUUCAUGUAAAAGUUAAAAAAAGAACGAAAGUUGCUAGAAAAUGAAAAGUUGCUCAAAGUUGCUCGAAAGUGAAGUUGCUCGAAAUACUAGAUUCUAAAUUAUGUAAAUUAUUGUCAGAGGCAAACAGAUUUGAUUCAUUUGUAAAUAGAUGAAAGUCAAAUGAUUUACUUGCUCUGUAUUUAUCAUUUAUAUUUGAUAACAAAGAGAAUUGGUCCCAAGACUGAUCUCUGUGGAACCCCACAAUUAAUAUUUAAGUGACAUGGGGAAGUGCCACCAGCAGAGACCAACCGUUUCCUAUUAGACAGGGUGUUUUUCAACUCGAGAGCUUGUGUUCACGUAGAAGGCCUUCAAGAAACAAGACUACAAUUUUCUGGAUAUUUUCAGUAAAGAUCGAGAAAACCGUUUGACAGUUUGACAGUUCAAGUAAUGUUGAACGAAAAACCGCUUAAGUUUUUUUUCACUUACUUUAGUAGCAGAGACAGAAUAACAUAGAAUAAGCAUUAUAAGAUCUUAGCAUUUGUAUUUAAGAGAACUUCAUUCCUUAGAUAAGUUGUUCUCUCUCAAAUUGUAAAUAGCAUCGUCUAGAACACAAUUCAAUGCUACAAAAUAUUGCACGAUUUUAAAUAUCAUGCAUCUAUUGCAGAAUUGCUUGAAGGUGUCAAAAAUUUUACUAAUAUCAGAUUGCACUAUCUUGUUUAGUUUGAAUUGCUUUGCAAGUUUCCCUUAGAAAACAUUACUAACCUUAGA